AAUAUUGCGCAAUGGAGGGAACUCUGACGCAGCGACGCCGCGUGAGCGAUGAAGGUCUUCGGAUCGUAAAGCUCUGUCCUUGGGGAAGAAGGUCGUCGGACUUGACGGUACCUAAGGAGGAAGCCCCGGCUAACUACGUGCCCGCAGCCGCGGUAAUACGUAGGGGGCAAGCGUUGUCCGGAAUUAUUGGGCGUAAAGGGUGCGUGGGCGGCCUUUUAAGUCAGAUGUGAAAUACCACGGCUCAACUGUGGGGGUGCAUUUGAAACUGGUUGGCUUGAGUGCAGGAGAGGAAAGUGGAAUUCCUAGUGUAGCGGUGAAAUGCGUAGAGAUCAGGAGGAACACCAGUGGCGAAGGCGACUUUCUGGACUGUAACUGACGCUCAUGCACGAAAGCGUGGGGAGCAAAC
rnacentral:rRNA from 1 species